UACGUAGGGUGCAAGCGUUGUCCGGAAUUAUUGGGCGUAAAGGGCUCGUAGGCGGUCCAUCGCGUCGGGAGUGAAAAGCUGGGGCUCAACCCCAGUCCUGCUUCCGAUACGGGUGGACUAGAGGUAUGCAGGGGAGAACGGAAUUCCUGGUGUAGCGGUGAAAUGCGCAGAUAUCAGGAGGAACACCAAUAGCGAAGGCAGCUCGCUGGGACGUUACUGACACUGAGGCGCGAAAGCGUGGGGAGCGAACAGG
rnacentral:rRNA from 1 species